rnacentral:rRNA from 1 species
AAAGAAACCAACAGGGAUUGCCCCAGUAACGGCGAGUGAAGCGGCAAGAGCUCAAAUUUGAAAUCUGGCCUCCCCAGGGGGUCCGAGUUGUAAUUUGGAGAGGAUGCUUCGGGUGCGGCCCCGGUCUAAGUCCCUUGGAACGGGGCAUCAGAGAGGGUGAGAGUCCCGUCUUCGGCCGGCGGCCAAGCCCGUGUGAAGCUCCUUCGACGAGUCGAGUUGUUUGGGAAUGCAGCUCUAAAUGGGUGGUAAAUUUCAUCUAAAGCUAAAUAUUGGUUGGAGACCGAUAGCGCACAAGUAGAGUGAUCGAAAGACGAAAAGCACUUUGAAAAGAGAGUUAAACAGCACGUGAAAUUGUUGAAAGGGAAGCGCUUGCGACCAGAGUCGGCCGCGGGGGCUCAGCGGGCAUGCUUGCCCGUGCACUCCCCCGUGGUUGGGCCAGCAUCGGUUCGGGCGGUUGGUUAAAGGUCCCCGGAAUGUGUCGCCCUUCGGGGCGUCUUAUAGCCGGGGGCGCAAUGCGGCCUGCCCGGACCGAGGCACGCGCUACGGCACGGAUGCUGGCAU